rnacentral:rRNA from 1 species
UACGGAGGGGCUAGCGUUGUUCGGAAUUACUGGGCGUAAAGCGCACGUAGGUGGCUUUGUAAGUUAGAGGUGAAAGCCCGGGCUCAACUCCGGAAUUGCCUUUAAGACUGCAUCGCUAGAACGUCGGAGAGGUAAGUGGAAUUCCGAGUGUAGAGGUGAAAUUCGUAGAUAUUCGGAAGGAACACCAGUGGCGAAGGCGACUUACUGGACGACUGUUGACACUGAGGUGCGGAAAGCGAUGG